AGCUGCUACGGCAGUGAAGUCAUUGAUGCCAUGCUUCCAGGAAAAGCCUCUAAGCUUCAGAUAGUCAGGAAUCGUACCCCAAACCGACACAGGUGGUCGGGUAGAGAAUACCAAGGCGCUUGAGAGAACUCGGGUGAAGGAACUAGGCAAAAUGGUACCGUAACUUCGGGAGAAGGUACGCUCUUGAUGGUGAAGUCCCUUGCGGAUGGAGCUGACGAGAGUCGCAGAUACCAGGUGGCUGCAACUGUUUAUUAAAAACACAGCACUGUGCAAAAUCGCAAGAUGACGUAUACGGUGUGACGCCUGCCCGGUGCCGGAAGGUUAAUUGAUGGGGUUAGCGCAAGCGAAGCUCUUGAUCGAAGCCCCGGUAAACGGCGGCCGUAACUAUAACGGUCCUAAGGUAGCGAAAUUCCUUGUCGGGUAAGUUCCGACCUGCACGAAUGGCGUAAUGAUGGCCACGCUGUCUCCACCCGAGACUCAGUGAAAUUGAAAUCGCUGUGAAGAUGCAGUGUACCCGCGGCUAGACGGAAAGACCCCGUGAACCUUUACUACAGCUUGGCACUGAACAUUGAACCUACAUGUGUAGGAUAGGUGGGAGGCUAUGAAGACGUGACGCCAGUUGCGUUGGAGCCGUCCUUGAAAUACCACCCUUGUAUGUUUGAUGUUCUAACUUAGCCCCAUUAUCUGGGGUGAGGACAGUGCCUGGUGGGUAGUUUGACUGGGGCGGUCUCCUCCCAAAGAGUAACGGAGGAGCACGAAGGUGGGCUAAUCACGGUUGGACAUCGUGAGGUUAGUGCAAUGGCAUAAGCCCGCUUAACUGCGAGAAUGACGGUUCGAGCAGGUGCGAAAGCAGGUCAUAGUGAUCCGGUGGUUCUGUAUGGAAGGGCCAUCGCUCAACGGAUAAAAGGUACUCCGGGGAUAACAGGCUGAUACCGCCCAAGAGUUCAUAUCGACGGCGGUGUUUGGCACCUCGAUGUCGGCUCAUCACAUCCUGGGGCUGAAGUCGGUCCCAAGGGUAUGGCUGUUCGCCAUUUAAAGUGGUACGCGAGCUGGGUUUAGAACGUCGUGAGACAGUUCGGUCCCUAUCUGCCGUGGGCGUUGGAAGAUUGAAGGGGGCUGCUCCUAGUACGAGAGGACCGGAGUGGACGAACCUCUGGUGUUCGGGUUGUGUCGCCAGACGCAUUGCCCGGUAGCUAAGUUCGGAAUUGAUAAGCGCUGAAAGCAUCUAAGCGCGAAGCGAGCCCUGAGAUGAGUCUUCCCUGAUACUUUAAGUAUCCUAAAGGGUUGUUCGAGACUAGAACGUUGAUAGGCAGGGUGUGUAAGCGUUGUGAGGCGUUGAGCUAACCUGUACUAAUUGCCCGUGAGGCUUAACCAUACAACACCCAAGG
rnacentral:rRNA from 1 species